AGGAAUGCUGACUUGACAUCCAUUUGAUGUACCUCUCUAUCUCAAGGUAUGUCAAAAAACUCUCAAGUUUUGUUCUUCUCAAUCAUAUACAACUCCUCCUCCAUUUCCUUUUUCCACUUUGGGUCAUUGAUAACUUCUAUGUGAUCAGCAGGUUUACAUAUUCCAACGUUACAUCUCUGAUAUAUGUCGGAGAGUAAUUGAGUGCCUUUAAUUGGUGGAUCAUCUUUCAUUUCAUAUUUUUGCAUCUUGAGAAGCCCUUGACCAAGCUUCUUGUGUCAUAACUCAGUAGUAUUUUUCUUUGUUGUUGAA
rnacentral:lncRNA from 1 species